GAUGAACGCUGGCGGCGUGCCUAAUACAUGCAAGUCGAGCGAACAGACGAGGAGCUUGCUCCUUUGAUGUUAGCGGCGGACGGGUGAGUAACACGUGGGUAACCUACCUAUAAGACUGGGAUAACUUCGGGAAACCGGAGCUAAUACCGGAUAAUAUUUCGAACCGCAUGGUUCGAUAGUGAAAGAUGGCUUUGCUAUCACUUAUAGAUGGACCUGCGCCGUAUUAGCUAGUUGGUAAGGUAACGGCUUACCAAGGCAACGAUACGUAGCCGACCUGAGAGGGUGAUCGGCCACACUGGAACUGAGACACGGUCCAGACUCCUACGGGAGGCAGCAGUAGGGAAUCUUCCGCAAUGGGCGAAAGCCUGACGGAGCAACGCCGCGUGAGUGAUGAAGGUCUUCGGAUCGUAAAACUCUGUUAUUAGGGAAGAACAAACGUGUAAGUAACUGUGCACGUC
rnacentral:rRNA from 1 species